GGCAUCUGCUGGGAAAAUAUGGAUGUGUAUUAAACUGAAUAGUUCAGAAUGAAAUUCGCUAUACUUCUCUGCUGUUACUCACAAACUUCAUUUGACUUAUUAUAUACAGUUUAUAUUCAGUAUACUCAGUAUAGUAUAAUCAAAUUUACCACACCAACCUAGGUUGACAUAAAUGAUCAUUUCAGUGAAUAUCAACUUAAACAUCAGUCUGAUCCACACACAAAGCUAUCAAAUGACUUCAGAAGACUUGAAUGGACUGCUUUCAUAAUACUAACAAAGUGUGUGUUUUGUAAGUUUUAGUGCUCAGCAGCCAGUGGUCCCCAUUGAAAUGAUAUGAAAAAGAGCAGCGUGAACAUCCUGCCCAACAUCUCCUUUUGUUUGAUGGCGAACAGAAAGUCAAAGGGGUUUGGACUGACAUGAAGCCAUCAAUAGGAGGGAAGAAGGAUCAGCAGGACCCUUGAAGGUGGCCACUGUCAGACAGGUUUAUGGAUGGUGUAGUUCUUCACCAGAACUUCGGCUUUUACGCACCACCUCAGGAGCUUAUGCUGAGUCUGUAUUGAAAGGUUCAUAUGAUUUAUAAUGAUUAUAUAGCAAUAGUUUGUGUACAGUAUGUGCUAUAUUUAUUCAUAUGCUGUAACUCAUGAUAAUUGCUCAUUACAGGAUUCUGAUAUUUCAUCCAAAAAAGAGCCUACGCAAUCGCACUGAAACCUGAUCCGGGACUCGCAUGAGCCGGGAUUAACAAAAAAUAUUUCAUCUCUGUCUUCUUCCCAGCACCUUGGCCCCUCUUGCUGAUCUUAUCUCCCAAUUACUGCCCUGCAAACAUUCCUGCACUCCAAACAGACUGCGAACGUGGAACGCUGGAGUCCAUGAUCACCUGUUCUUUUCUAGACAUGCAUCUACUUCCUGUUCUGAAGCAACAGUAAGCAGGUAUGUCAUUCAUUAUGCAUUAUUAUACAGAAAAUGUUUUGAGAAAAAAACGGUUUACCUCUCAUAACUUCCACUGGUAGUAAAUAACAAUUCCAAU
ensembl:lncRNA